AUGAUUUGUUGCUUUCUCCCUAUCAGUCUUACCAUUUUGUUUUGCUUGCUUUACCUUGUAGCUUCUUCCAGUAGUUGUUUUUUUCCUUUAUGUCAGAGCUGCUCUGUCACACUUCUUAUGCUUUUACGAUGUCCUAAUAAAAGUUUUGUGUGGGCAGAUAAUUUUUUGCUUACUACAAACCGUAAGAAACUGAAGCUUACUGAUUUGGGGCUUGCACGAGAGGAAACUAUAACUGAAAUGAUGACGACUGAAACUGGGACAUACCGAUAUGGACAUAGAGUUCGUUGA
rnacentral:rRNA from 1 species